GGUUAAGCGACUAAGCGUACACGGUGGAUGCCCUGGCAGUCAGAGGCGAUGAAGGGCGUGCUAAUCUGCGAUAAGCGCCGGUAAGGUGAUAUGAACCGUUAUAACCGGCGAUACCCGAAUGGGGAAACCCAGUGUGACUCGUCACACUAUCAUUAACUGAAUCCAUAGGUUAAUGAGGCGAACCGGGGGAACUGAAACAUCUAAGUACCCCGAGGAAAAGAAAUCAACCGAGAUUCCCCCAGUAGCGGCGAGCGAACGGGGAGGAGCCCAGAGCCUGAAUCAGCAUGUGUGUUAGUGGAAGCGUCUGGAAAGGCGCGCGAUACAGGGUGACAGCCCC
rnacentral:rRNA from 1 species